AGUAACGGCGAGUGAAGCGGGAAAAGCUCAAAUUUAAAAUCUGGUGGCCGAAAGGUUGCCCGAGUUGUAAUUUAGAGAAGUGCUACCCGCGCUGGACCGUGCACAAGUCCUCUGGAAUGGGGCGUCAUAGAGGGUGAGAAUCCCGUCUUUGGUGCGGACUCCCAGUGCUUUGUGGUGUGCUCUCGAAGAGUCGAGUUGUUUGGGA
rnacentral:rRNA from 1 species